ACCCAGACUCCUACGGGAGGCAGCAGUGAGGAAUAUUGGUCAAUGGGCGGAAGCCUGAACCAGCCAAGUCGCGUGAGGGACUAAGGCCCUGCGGGUCGUAAACCUCUUUUGCCGGGGAGCGGUGGUCCGGACGCGUCCGGACCGGGAGAGUACCCGGAGAAAAAGCAUCGGCUAACUCCGUGCCAGCAGCCGCGGUAAUACGGAGGAUGCGAGCGUUAUCCGGAUUUAUUGGGUUUAAAGGGUGCGUAGGCGGAAUGCCAAGUCAGCGGUAAAAUCGCGGGGCUCAACCUCGCUCCGCCGUUGAAACUGGCGUUCUUGAGUGGGCGAGAAGUAUGCGGAAUGCGUGGUGUAGCGGUGAAAUGUAUAGAUAUUGCGCAGAACUCCGAUUGCGAAGGCAGCAUACCGGCGGCGAUCUGACGCUGAGGCACGAAAGCGUGGGUAUCGAACAGGAUUAGAUACCCUAGUA
rnacentral:rRNA from 1 species